rnacentral:rRNA from 1 species
ACGGGUGAGUAACGCGUGGGAACAUACCCCUCGGUUCGGAAUAACUCAGGGAAACUUGAGCUAAUACCGGAUACGUCCCAGGUUUUAAUCGACCUUGGAGAAAGAUUUAUCGCCGGAGGAUUGGCCCGCGUCUGAUUAGCUUGUUGGUGAGGUAAUGGCUCACCAAGGCGACGAUCAGUAGCUGGUCUGAGAGGAUGAUCAGCCACAUUGGGACUGAGACACGGCCCAA